AAAGAUCGUGCUGUUUUUGAUGAUUCUCAUGAAGCUAGCGGGAAGAACCAUAUGGAGGAUGAUAGGUGGGGAGAGCAGGUUUUGGAUCCAUCAAACGAAAAUGGUUUAGAAAAUGGAUUGGAGUUUGACCGUUAUGAACCUUAUUACAGUGAUGACAAAAAGGAGCAGAAUGAACUUCAAGAUGCAUCCUAUUUUGGUGGUUCACCCACUAGAACGAAGUCUCCAGAGAAAACAGGCUUUGGACAAAAUGAUCAUCAUAAAAUUUUGGAUCAUCUCAGCAAUUCAAAAUCUCGAAAAACGUGCUAUGCAUGUGGUAAAGUGGGUCAUGAAAUGCGGAAGUGCCCCUCACAGCUGGAGAGACCCAGAACAAGGUCUCAACUGCCGAGUCAAAGUAGUGAUGCUGCUCCAAUGAGGCAUCAGAAAAACGAUAGGGAGCCAUCGACUUCAAGAAAUAAUCGGAGAUUGCUUAGACGUGGAGGUUCUCCCUCAGCACAGCUUACUUCCAGACAUAGGAAACAAAAGUACAGGGAGAACAAUCGAAAUAAGACAGAUUGUGAAAGUCCAGAUAGACACCGUUCAAAGAAAGCAAGGGUUCUGUUGUCGUCUUCAACCCACUCUGAUUGUACUGCAUCCAGAUUGCAGUCACCUUCAAGAUCAAUAAGCUCAUUCUCUGGGUCUGUUUCCCAUUCCAAGUUCAAAUCAGCAUCAUCCAGAAAAAAUUCCCCGUCCGCUCAUUCGUGGUCUUCAACAUCAUACCAUUCUGGAUCUAAACCCUUCAUGUCGAGGUUGACAUCAAGCUCAAACUCUCCUACAUCUUUGGCUUUACCGGUAGCACUCGAUAGAUGUUUUUCUUCGUCACCAAAUAAAAUGCAAACAGAUUACAGGGGAGACGAAAAACUGGUAAAAGGUGUCAGUGGCACCAAAUCUGAAAAUAUUACAGUUACGGAAAAUGAAUCUGCAGCCGCAGCAUUGAGAGAGGAAGGAAUGAAAAAGGAUCUUGCCAUAAGGGAAGACGCACACAAUAUUGCCUUCACCAGUGAUUCAUGCCAACUGCUAGAGUCCUAUAACACGCAGUCAGACAACAGUAAUCACAAUUGGGAUAAUUUGAUGUUGCAAAGUGAGAAAGAGAUGAGGGAAACUCCAAAUGAGUACUGUGUGGUGGAACAUACAUCGGCAAAAGAGCCUGAAAUCUCCGUGAGAUCAAAUGCUGCCCAGUCAACAAGACUGUCCUCUGAGGAAAUGUACACGGUUCUAAAACAUUAUCGACUGGAGCAUCCUGAGGAAGAUAAAAAGGAUCUACCUGCUGAAACGUAUCUAGGGUGUGCUCGUACAUGGCCUUGGGAGAUAAUAUACUAUAGAAAACUGAAGAAGGGUGCAAUUUCAGCCGAGAACUAUGCACGGAGAAUUGCUCAGAAUAAAGAGUUCUGUAUCGUCGAUAAUUACAUUCGUGGCAGUAGUGGAUGGGGAGAAUUGGGUGAAGAUAAUCCUUGAGCAGUUGUUCCGUUGACUAGUACAUUAUAUUCAUCGUUGCACAACAGUUUUGGACCUGAAUGAUCGUCCCUUGCAAAUUUCUUGAGACACGUAACGAAGCCUUGAUCAUAUACUUGCCAUGUAAUUCUAUGGUUAUGUUUUGCUACAUUUAAGAACCCAUCCAUAUCUGCUCAAGAAUAUAGACACACAAUGCUAAAGCUUCCGACUUUCUUACCGCCUUCAAGUGGUGAUGUGUUCUGUAGAAACACAUCUUCCAGAGUAGAAACAGAGGCAUUAUUGAGUUGCUGUUUGGUCUCCAUUUUAAUAUUAAUAUAUUUUUUAUUUCUUCUUUUCAACCACACAUUUUUUAAUAAAAUAAUAGUACACGUACAUUCAAAACUUUUCCUUCUUCUUUAAUCACAUAUUAUCCAAAAAAUUAUUAUUCUAAAAUAUAUUUUUUCCAAAACCUCGAUAAAAUGGAUCCCAAACAAGGGUUGAAUAAUGUAGUAACAUAAGAAUUUUGUGAAUCUUUUUCAUGCUCUCAAAAGACUGAAUAAGUUGUGACUUGUCUGAUUACAGUAGUAGCCGAGUUCUAAGUUACUUAAACUUCAUUUAAAGAAACUUUUUAUCUUUAUAACACUUUCGAAUUUUGAGCUUUGGAGAGCCUUUCCUUGUUAACCCAAUGCUCUCCAAGACAUGUUUCGUUUUUUACGUACUCCUACAACAGAAUACUAAAGAAGAGAACUUGCAACUCUUUGAUUGCUAGAGACCUCCAACAUGUAAUGUCACCCCACUUUAUUCUACUUUUUCUUAUUAUUGAUGUCUCUAUUGUGAUGUUUUCUUUCCUCUGGAAUUUCUUUCCUUUUAAGUCAAAGCAAAUGAAGUUCUCAAAUAACUGAUGCAUCUAUUUUUUUGGACUUUUAGCUCUAGUUGUAGAUUAAUGGUCUUAUAAUGUGAUUACUACUCUACUAAUUUGUUAUUGGCUGCUUUAUUAAUCCAUUUUAUGUUUCUAAUAGUAUGUUAGUCUUUUAGCUUUUCUAAACGGUAUUAAUAAUUAUAUUUUGAAAUUUUUAAUUUUUUAUUAUGUGUAAUUUUCUAUUUUUGUAGUUAUUUGAAAUUCUAUUGGUUUAUGUUGAGCUUUAUACUUCAAAGCAGCCGAGGUUCACCCUUUGCCUCAUGCAAAAACACCUCAAUACCACGUAUACAUGCAUGCACCUAUGUUUCUAAGUACUUGAUGUAAUUUUCAGGUUUUAAAUUUUUUCUUGUUUUUUGCUACAGAUGUCUUUGCAUCUUGGAGAAAAAUAUACAAAACUGCCCCUGUGAUUGCCUUUUGUUUAUUUUUUAUUUUUUGUGAUCAUUAUUGCAACAUAUAUUCCAAGUCAAAAAAAGAAAAAAGAAAAAAAAACAACCGCUUCGUAGUGUGGGGGACCAUCGAAUGACUAUCUACUUGAAAGGUCAUUCUCUUAUCUUAAACUUAGCCUACCAAAUACCUGAUUAGCUCAUCCUUGAGCCUCAUUUUUGGGCCCUUACCCCAUGCACCUCGAUAGCUUAAGAAUAACUAAUCAAUAUGGGGUGAAUUGAUUUUUAAAAACUUUUUCGAAAAAUUGAUUCAAAUUUAAGUUGAGAAUGAACAAGUCAAUCAAACAAAAAAUGCAAAUGUAUGAAAGCGCUAAGUAAAUGGGAAGAGAGUGUAAACAAUAUAAGCAAGAAGCUACCCUUCCAACAAUUUGAAUUGUUGUGCUGGGGAAAAAGAUCGUGCUGUUUUUGAUGAUUCUCAUGAAGCUAGCGGGAAGAACCAUAUGGAGGAUGAUAGGUGGGGAGAGCAGGUUUUGGAUCCAUCAAACGAAAAUGGUUUAGAAAAUGGAUUGGAGUUUGACCGUUAUGAACCUUAUUACAGUGAUGACAAAAAGGAGCAGAAUGAACUUCAAGAUGCAUCCUAUUUUGGUGGUUCACCCACUAGAACGAAGUCUCCAGAGAAAACAGGCUUUGGACAAAAUGAUCAUCAUAAAAUUUUGGAUCAUCU
rnacentral:lncRNA from 1 species